ensembl:misc_RNA 7SK 7SK RNA
GGGUGUUGGGGGCAAUCUGCCUGUAACAUCUGUCACCCUCCUUGGUCAGCAGGGUUGAUUCAGCUGAUCUGGCUGGCUAGCAGGGUGUCCCCUUCCUGCCUCACCACUCCAUGGGCAUCUUUCCUCAAGCUAUGUGCUUGUCGAAAGAGGACAGCUUUCCCUGUGAGAGAGAGAACCAUCCUUUGGUCAAGGGUAUAUGAACAGCAGUACUUCCCUACUAGAACCUCCAAACCAAGUCUCAAGAUUAGGUUUUCAGGGUUUUUGAGGUAAAGAUACCGUGUGUUCAGGAAACCUCAGAUACUUGGAAAGAUAAUC